rnacentral:lncRNA from 1 species
GUACAUGUUCUUCUUUCUAACUCCAGGACUCCACCAAAGGCUCAGCACCCAUACAGACCACUGAACUAGCACAGGGUGAAUUUGAAAACGCAAGGUUUCAGAGACAACUGGACCUCAGAAGUCCUUCUCAGAUGGCUGCCAGCAACACUCCAACAAUAGUUUCUGAAAGCCUUGUAUACACAGCUCAUAGGCUGGACAUUUUAGUAAAAAUCAAAGUGUAAAAAAGCUUCCUCGCUCCUGGGGCAGAGAAGCUGAGCUGAUCCCAGCACCCAGAAGGAAGCUCCCCUGCUGCCAUCCCAUGCUCCUAGGGCAGAGAAGGUGAGCCACGUGGGUGCCAGAAGCACACACACACACUCACACACACACAAAGACCCUCCCCCCACCGUGGAAAUGAGAAGACACAUAAACAAGCCUCAAAAACAGACUUCCAGGUCACCU